GAUGAACGCUGGCGGCGUGCCUAAUACAUGCAAGUCGAGCGAACGGACGAGAAGCUUGCUUUUCUGAUGUUAGCGGCGGACGGGUGAGUAACACGUGGAUAACCUACCUAUAAGACUGGGAUAACUUCGGGAAACCGGAGCUAAUACCGGAUAAUAUUUUGAACCGCAUGGUUCAAAAGUGAAAGACGGUCUUGCUGUCACUUAUAGAUGGAUCCGCGCUGCAUUAGCUAGUUGGUAAGGUAACGGCUUACCAAGGCAACGAUGCAUAGCCGACCUGAGAGGGUGAUCGGCCACACUGGAACUGAGACACGGUCCAGACUCCUACGGGAGGCAGCAGUAGGGAAUCUUCCGCAAUGGGCGAAAGCAUGACGGAGCAACGCCGCGUGAGUGAUGAAGGUCUUCGGAUCGUAAAACUCUGUUAUUAGGGAAGAACAUAUGUGUAAGUAACUGUGCACAUCUUGACGGUACCUAAUCAGAAAGCCACGGCUAACUACGUGC
rnacentral:rRNA from 1 species